GAAAUGUAAUAAAUAAUAUCAAUUAUAAAAUUUAGUAAAUUAUUAAAUCUUUAAACGCACAUUACGCCCCUUAGUAUUCUGUAGGGUAUGCCUAUUUAAGCGUUAUCUACACCCUUAAGCUCUACUUAGUGUUAGGCGUCUAUCCCGCCUUUGCGCGUAGACUUACUCUAAAUAUAUUAGUAGCGGUCCUUAUUCCCUCCUACGUAGUAUAUUACGCUUCUUAAGGCUACGGCGGCCCACGUCUAAUAAGCUGAACCCCCCUAUCUUUAACUUCGGAUUAGGUAGGGAUACCCGCUAAACUUAAGC
rnacentral:misc_RNA from 1 species